AUCGCAAGAUCAAUUGGCGAACGGCGACGGCGGCGGCGACCUGGUGGCCAGUUGGCACCUUGUCGAUUUCCUUCCAACCUACCUUCCUUCUCCCUCUAUCUUCUCCAUCUUCCACCACUUGUAUCCCUUAGUUCAUCCUCCUUCCACCUCUAUUUACUGGAGUAUGGUUGCUAUUGUAUUGGAUGCUUGCAUAUUUGAGUGGAAUUGAGAUCAGAGGUGGCCUGGCCAGCCGAGGUCGCGACCGAUGUGCUUGCAAUCAGCGGCAAAGUGGAAGCUAGAGCAGCCGGAUGUCAGCGAGAGCAUGCACUGCCUCAAUCAUGAGCUUGCAUCGCCGAGCUUAAUUCGGAGUCUGCCAUCAACAUAGGUCAUCUUUCCUAACCAACCUCAAUUUGUUUACUUGGUCCACAUCUUUGGCUUCGUACCUCAAGUUUGAUGUAAUUCCUUCAUUUAUGCGCCGGUUAAGUUAUUGCUUGGUUUGCUCUUGUUAUUAAUGAAUUCUUACUAUUUAUAUGAGCAUCUUACAUGACAAAUGCAGAUUGCUACUUACUUUGUCUAGGUAUAUUCACAAGGUCAUUUUUCUUAAAAGUUGAAUUGUUCCCUCUAAAUGAAGGCUUAUUCAACCUAUAGGAAUAAGUUUUUAAAAGUUGAAUUGUUCCCUAGCCUGAAGCAAAUCUCUUUCCUGUUUGAACUCUACAGGAAUGAGCAGUAAUGAGGCUUGAAGGUGAUACAGUUAUCGACUUGAAAUUGUAGUCGGAUAAAGUAUUUGAUUAUUUGCCUCCACAUUUGAUUCGUAUAUAUUAGUUUAACAAAUACAUAAUUGAAAGUGAAGGAUCUGACCUAUAACUGACGCCUAAUGGUAGGCAUUUAAAGGAAUCUGAAAUUGUAACUAACUUUCUUUUGUACGAAAGAAUUCAAAUACAUAAAUGUGCAGAUGCAGCGAGGCUUUUUCAGAAACAAAUAUGAUUCUUACUGUUAAAAUAUCCUCUACCUGGCAGACAUCUAAGGAAGUGUACUCAUUUGAAUUCUGAUUUUGCUUUUUCUCAGGGUUGUUUCAUGUUCUAAAGAGUGUCAUCUGCAAUGCGAUAGCUUUAGAGAGAUGAAAGUCCAAUUAUGCUAGAUUAUCAGUUUUUUUGCAAGGAUGCUAGAAUAUCACUUUGACUUGUUUGGUACUGUCCAAUGCCAAUAGUGGCAAUGAAGACAACUCUUUAUACAUCAUCAGAGGAAAUGCUGACUCCAUUAUUUGUGAUAGAAAAUGUUAAACAUGGUGGAAGCAGGGGAGUAGAAUGUGGAGCAAAUAUAAAUAUAUUUUGAAGCUAGGCAGGACAUGAGGGUGCUCAUACAAAUUUCUAUACUCUAGCUAGCGCUGGAAUGGUCCUACUUCUUUCAUUUACAACAUAUCAGCUUGGUUUCCCAUUUGGACUUAAAACUGUAAAUAUGGCAAGCAUGUAGAUAAAGUUGAUCCUACAUGCAUGCCACAACUUAUCAGACAUACCGUCUGCAUACUCUGAUUGUACAUUCAUGUCCAUACAGGGGAGUAAGUUCGGUAAAUUCAUCUUAGUGAACAGAACAUUUGUGCAUUUCAUUCAAUUUUUUGUUUUGUGGUGAUGAGAAGACUAUGUCAUUUGUUAUUCUUCUAUAAGAAAAUAAUUUGUUAUUCUUGUGU
rnacentral:sRNA from 1 species